rnacentral:rRNA from 1 species
GGUGAACGUUGGCGGCGUGGAUUAGGCAUGCAAGUCGAGCGAGAACCGUAGCAAUACGGGGACAGCGGCGAAAGGGACAGUAAUGUGUAGGUACCUACCCCGGGGUCUGGGAUAGCUGCGGGAAACUGCAGGUAAUACCGGAUAAUGUCUUCGGACCAAAGGUGUGAUUCCACCUUGGGAGGGGCCUGCAUCCUAUUAGCUUGUUGGCGGGGUAACGGCCCACCAAGGCAACGAUGGGUAGCGGGUGUGAGAGCACGACCCGCGUCAUUGGGACUGAGAUACUGCCCAGACAGCUACGGGUGGCUGCAGUCGAGGAUCUUCGGCGAUGGGCGAAAGCCUGACCGAGCGACGCCGCGUGCGGGAUGGAGGCCUUCGGGUUGUAAACCGCUGUCGUAGAGGAGGUAAUGCAGGGGGGUUCUCCCUUCUGUUUGACCUAUUCUAGGAGGAAGGACGGGCUAAGUUCGUGCCAGCCGCCGCCGUAA